UUUACCUUGGUUAGGAGACAAAAGACACAGCGGUAAGGAGACAAACGCAGCAGGAAGGGACCUUGAGCCCAAGGGACACCCACACAGCUCCAGCCAAGCUGCCUGAGAGGAGGCUGGGAGGGAGGGUAGAGUUGGAAUGGAGAGCCCCGGCAACCUCGGCACUGCAGGAGGAGCGAGGUCAGAAGCCCAUGCGGCUUCCCAAAGAAAAAUGCAAUUAUCAUCUGAUUCCUUGACAGCACUCUGGCUCAGAGCCUGGCUCAAGGCACGGUGUCUGGCUCAGGGGCCUUGGGUCACCUCGGCCCCACUCUGUGUGCACACGGAGAGGCUUGGGGCUUACUCUGUGGCCAGGCUUUCCCCAGAUCUCCUGUAAGAUGAUGAGAUGGCAGCAGAAGCCCUUGCAUGUGGCAGUCCCACUGUGCCAGGCAAACAGCUUCCCCAGCGUCCAUCCCCCCAGAGCAUCCCAGCAUCCUGAGAGGUCAUAGUGCUUUAUCCUCACCUCACAGAGGAGAUGCUCAAAGGCACAGGCUCACCCAAGGCCACCAGUGAGAGAGAAGAGUGAUCACCACACCGGCUCAGCCCACUCUACCAGGAGAAUGUGGAACCAAGCCCUCCUUGACCGUGUGUCACCAGCCUGCCAGCCUCACUGGUGCCCAACAUAGGGCCAAGCACACAUGUGUAGUCCCCACGAAGAGAAGGACUUUGUCUUGUUCACCCUGGAACGUGAUGCUUGAGGAGUGAAGGGUUUUCACGACAGCCCAGAGCCAUUACUAUUGCUAUACCAUUUAAUGAGCGAGAACAUGGAGGUGUGGGGACUCAGAGAAGGACCUGUCCUGAUGUGGGGGGCCAGUAGAGCUCCUCCCACACCCUCCCACCUUUUGCUGCGAUCUCACCUUUUGAGGACAUUGAGGACACUGAUGGGCAGGUAGCAGAGGGCAAAGACCAACAGCACCACCAUCAGCAUCUUGGCUGUCUUCCUCCGGGCCCGCAUCUGCUUCACCUCCGCCAGAAAGGCGCGGGCCCGGGGCUGGGGCUGUGCACUGGGGCCCUGCCCCUGGUCCUCCAACUGGUCUGAGGGUCUCUUCCAGUUCCGUACCAGUGCCAAGGUAGUGCCUGGGAUCUGUCCAGCACACACAGAGAGCAGUGGUGGGCAUAGCUCUUUGGCAGGACUUAUCUCUUUGGGUGGAUCCACUCCUGGCUAGACCCUGGGGCAGAGUGGAGGUGGCAAGGAACGAGCUCUUGCAAAAAGAGGGAACCCAAUAUUCACAAUAAAGAUGAACACUCUGGACUUGGUGAUUAA